ACUCGAGUGGCGAACGGGUGAGUAACACGUGGGUGAUCUGCCCUGCACUUUGGGAUAAGCCUGGGAAACUGGGUCUAAUACCGGAUAUACCUCAUGGGAUGCAUGUUUUGUGGGGGAAAGCUUUUGCGGUGUGGGAUGGGCCCGCGGCCUAUCAGCUUGUUGGUGGGGUGAUGGCCUACCAAGGCGACGACGGGUAGCCGGCCUGAGAGGGUGUCCGGCCACACUGGGACUGAGAUACGGCCCAGACUCCUACGGGAGGCAGCAGUGGGGAAUAUUGCACAAUGGGCGCAAGCCUGAUGCAGCGACGCCGCGUGAGGGAUGACGGCCUUCGGGUUGUAAACCUCUUUCACCUACGACGAAGCGCGAGUGACGGUAGUGGGAGAAGAAGCACCGGCCAACUACGUGCCAGCAGCCGCGGUAAUACGUAGGGUGCGAGCGUUGUCCGGAAUUACUGGGCGUAAAGAGCUCGUAGGUGGUUUGUCGCGUUGUUCGUGAAAACUCACAGCUCAACUGUGGGCGUGCGGGCGAUACGGGCAGACUGGAGUACUGCAGGGGAGACUGGAAUUCCUGGUGUAGCGGUGGAAUGCGCAGAUAUCAGGAGGAACACCGGUGGCGAAGGCGGGUCUCUGGGCAGUAACUGACGCUGAGGAGCGAAAGCGUGGGGAGCGAACAGGAUUAGAUACCCUGGUAGUCCACGCCGUAAACGGUGGGUACUA
rnacentral:rRNA from 1 species